rnacentral:ncRNA from 1 species
CUCUUAUUCAGAGUGGUGGAGGGACUGGCCCUAUGAAACCCGGCAACCGAUCUAUCCGAUGGCGGUGCUAAUUCCAGCAAAGCUAUGGCUUUGAAAAAUGAGAG